UACGGAGGGGGCUAGCGUUGUUCGGAAUUACUGGGCGUAAAGCGCACGUAGGCGGCUUUGUAAGUUAGAGGUGAAAGCCCGGGGCUCAACUCCGGAAUUGCCUUUAAGACUGCAUCGCUAGAACGUCGGAGAGGUAAGUGGAAUUCCGAGUGUAGAGGUGAAAUUCGUAGAUAUUCGGAAGAACACCAGUGGCGAAGGCGACUUACUGGACGACCGUUGACGCUGAGGAGCGAAAGCGUGGGGAGCGGAACAGG
rnacentral:rRNA from 1 species